rnacentral:rRNA from 1 species
AGUGAACGCUAGCGGCAGGCCUAACACAUGCAAGGUCGAGGGGCAUCAUGGCGGUAGCAAUACGCUGAUGGCGACCGGCGCGACGGGUGCGUAACGCGUAUGGAACCUACCCACCGCAGGGGGAUAACCCGCCGAAAGGCGGACUAAUACCCCAUGGUUCCCCGACCCUGCCUGGGGUUGGGGGUAAAGCCUACGGGCGGCGGUGGAUGGCCCCUGCGUGCCAUUAGCUGGCUGGUGGGGUAACGGCCCACCAGGGCGACGAUGGCUAGGGGGUCUGAGAGGACGAUCCCCCACACUGGUACUGAGACACGGACCAGACUCCUACGGGAGGCAGCAGUGAGGAAUAUUGGUCAAUGGGCGGAAGCCUGAACCAGCCAUGCCGCGUGCAGGAUGACGGCCCUACGGGUUGUAAACUGCUUUUCCCCGGGGCGAAUAACCCCCUCGCGAGGGGGGAUGCCGGUACCGGGGGAAUAAGGAUCGGCUAACUCCGUG